UACGUAGGGUGCGAGCGUUGUCCGGAAUUACUGGGCGUAAAGAGCUCGUAGGUGGUUUGUCGCGUUGUCCGUGAAAACUCACAACUCAAUUGUGGGCGUGCGGGCGAUACGGGCAGACUGGAGUACUGCAGGGGAGACUGGAAUUCCUGGUGUAGCGGUGAAAUGCGUAGAUACCAGGAGGAACACCGGUGGCGAAGGCGGUUUCCUGGCCGAGUACUGACGCUGAGGCACGAAAGCGUGGGGAGCGAACAGG
rnacentral:rRNA from 1 species